rnacentral:tRNA from 1 species
AGAAUAAUUGGGUAAUAUAGUUUAUUGGACUGAAAAUCCUUGUGUCGCUGGUUCGAUUCCGGCCCGGGCCA